CCUCUCUGUUGUACUAUGUUGCCUACA
rnacentral:piRNA from 1 species